UACGUAGGGUGCGAGCGUUGUCCGGAAUUAUUGGGCGUAAAGAGCUCGUAGGCGGUCUGUCGCGUCGGUCGUGAAAACUUGGGGCUUAACCCUGAGCUUGCGGUCGAUACGGGCAUGACUGGAGUUCGGCAGGGGAGACUGGAAUUCCUGGUGUAGCGGUGAAAUGCGCAGAUAUCAGGAGGAACACCAAUAGCGAAGGCAGCUCGCUGGGACGGUAUUGACGCUGAGGCGCGAAAGCGUGGGGAGCGAACAGG
rnacentral:rRNA from 1 species